GACGAACCGUGCGAACGUUAUUCGGAAUCACUGGGCUUAAAGCGCGUGUAGGCGGGCCGCCGCGUCGGCUGCUGAAAUCCCCCGGCUCAACCGGGGAACGGGCACCGAUACGGGCGGCCUCGAGGGGGGUAGGGGGGGUCUGGGAACUUCCGGUGGAGCGGUGGAAUGCGCAGAUAUCAGGAGGAGCACCGGUGGCGAAGGCGGGUCUCUGGGGCGAGUGAACUGACGCUGGAGGAGCGAAAGCGUGGGGGAGCGAACAGGA
rnacentral:rRNA from 1 species